CCUACGGUAGGCAGCAGUGAGGAAUAUUGGUCAAUGGGCGUAAGCCUGAACCAGCCAAGUCGCGUGAGGGAUGAAGGUUCUAUGGAUCGUAAACCUCUUUUAUAAGGGAAUAAAGUGCGGGACGUGUCCCGGUUUGUAUGUACCUUAUGAAUAAGGAUCGGCUAACUCCGUGCCAGCAGCCGCGGUAAUACGGAGGAUCCGAGCGUUAUCCAGAUUUAUUGGGUUUAAAGGGUGCGUAGGCGGCCUUUUAAGUCAGCGGUGAAAGUAUGUGGCUCAACCAUAGAAUUGCCGUUGAGACUGGGAGGCUUGAGUAUGUUUGAGGCAGGCGGAAUGCGUGGUGUAGCGGUGAAAUGCUUAGAUAUCACGCAGAACCCCGAUUGCGAAGGCAGCCUGCCAAGCCAUGACUGACGCUGAUGCACGAAAGCGUGGGGAUCAAACAGGAUUAGAUACCCGAGUAGUC
rnacentral:rRNA from 1 species